UAAUCAUAUUAGGAUUCCUAAUCUCAUUAGGAGAAUUAAUUGAUUUGGGAGCAUGCAUCCUACGACGCCAUGUGGAGUUUAAAGUCCGCAUAGUGUGAACAUGACUUAAGUCAUAUUCAUCCUACAACGACAUGUAGUCUUUAAAAUCCGCACAAACCUUGGUUUAAUCAAAUUGACCCAAUCAUGAACCCAAAUUAAUUUGGGUC
rnacentral:lncRNA from 1 species